CCAGACUCCUACGGGAGGCAGCAGUGAGGAAUAUUGGUCAAUGGGCGAGAGCCUGAACCAGCCAAGUAGCGUGAGGGAAGACGGUCCUAUGGAUUGUAAACCUCUUUUGCCGGGGAGCAAAAAGCGGUACGUGUACCGCAUCGAGAGUACCCGGAGAAAAAGCAUCGGCUAACUCCGUGCCAGCAGCCGCGGCAAUACGUAGGGGGCAAGCGUUAUCCGGAUUUACUGGGUGUAAAGGGAGCGUAGACGGCUGUGCAAGCCAGAUGUGAAAGCCCGGGGCUCAACCCCGGGACUGCAUUUGGAACUGUGUGGCUGGAGUGUCGGAGAGGCAGGCGGAAUUCGUAGGGUAGCGGUGAGAUGCGUAGAUAUUAGGAGGAAAACCAGUGGCGAAGGGGGCCUGCUGGACAAUGACUGACGUUGAGGCUCGAAAGCGUGGGGAGCAAACAGGAUUAGAUACCCGUGUAAA
rnacentral:rRNA from 1 species